UACGAGGGGUGCAAGCGUUGCUCGGAAUUAUUGGGCGUAAAGGGCAGGUAGGUGGUCUCAUUUGUCAGAGGUGAAAGCCUUGGGCUUAACCCAAGAAGUGCCUCUGAAACGGUGAGACUGGAGUCUUGGAGAGGGUCGUGGAAUUCCCGGUGUAGCGGUGAAAUGCGUAGAGAUCGGGAGGAACACCAGAGGCGAAGGCGGCGACCUGGACAAGUACUGACACUCAACUGCGAAAGCGUGGGUAGCAAACAGG
rnacentral:rRNA from 1 species